UUGAACGCUGGCGGCAUGCCUUACACAUGCAAGUCGAACGGCAGCACGGGAGCAAUCCUGGUGGCGAGUGGCGAACGGGUGAGUAAUAUAUCGGAACGUGCCCAGUCGUGGGGGAUAACGUAGCGAAAGCUACGCUAAUACCGCAUACGAUCUAUGGAUGAAAGCGGGGGAUCGCAAGACCUCGCGCGAUUGGAGCGGCCGAUAUCAGAUUAGGUAGUUGGUGAGGUAAAGGCUCACCAAGCCGACGAUCUGUAGCUGGUCUGAGAGGACGACCAGCCACACUGGGACUGAGACACGGCCCAGACUCCUACGGGAGGCAGCAGUGGGGAAUUUUGGGCAAUGGGCGCAAGCCUGAUCCAGCAAUGCCGCGUGCAGGAUGAAGGCCUUCGGGUUGUAAACUGCUUUUGUACGGAACGAAACGGUGAGCUCUAAUACAGUUUGCUAAUGACGGUACCGUAAGAAUAAGCACCGGCUAACUACGUG
rnacentral:rRNA from 1 species